rnacentral:rRNA from 1 species
UACGUAGGUGGCAAGCGUUGUCCGGAAUUAUUGGGCGUAAAGGGCGCGUAGGCGGCACUUUAAGUCAGAUGUGAAAACCCGGGGCUCAACCCCGGAGGUGCAUUUGAAACUGGAGAGCUUGAGUGCGGGAGAGGUAAGUGGAAUUCCUAGUGUAGCGGUGAAAUGCGUAGAUAUUAGGAGGAACACCAGUGGCGAAGGCGACUUACUGGACCGUAACUGACGCUGAGGCGCGAAAGCGUGGGGAGCAAACAGG